AUCACACAUUAUGGAUGUAGUAAUUCAUUAUUUGUCAUUUGAAUGAUGCUUUUCAGAAGUGUUAUUGUGCUUAUGUGUUGAUCCUUAAUGGUGUGAUCAUGAACACUAAAUGAUCAAUUAUUCUCCAUUACAGGUUGUUCUGAUAUAUUUGAGGAGUCGUUCUCCCUCUGUUCUAUAUGUGGACUUGUUCUCUCAUUUGGGACCACUGUUAGAAUUUGGUUGACCACUUGACAUGUGAGAGCUUGAGGAGUUGUUCCCCCUCCGUCCAUUUUCAAGGAUUUGCUCCACUUCACCACUUUGUGGCUACUGAGAAGUCUAUGAUUUGUUGAGUUGACCACCCUAUAUAUGAGAGCCUAAGGAGUUGUUUUCCCU